ensembl:lncRNA
GAGAGAGAGAGAGAGAGAGAGAGAGAGAGAGAGAGAGAGAGAGAGAGAGAGAGAGAGAGAGAGAGAGAGAGAGAGAGAGAGAGAGAGAACAACAGAGAGAACACAGAGAAAGAGAAUGGCAGAGUGAGAGGGGGAGAGAGUGAGAAUGAGAGAGAGGGGGAGAGCGAGGGAGAGCUGGAGCGAGCGAGAGAGAGAUCGAGCUCCUUUGUGUGUGGUUCUGCCUGGAGGGGGUUUGCUGGGUCCAACACCACUUGAUAAAACUUUGCCAGAGAGACACAGAGUCAGCAGGGGAGGGAGAGAGAUGGAAGAGGAAUGAAAUAGGACACGAAAGGUCUCCCUCCCUCUCUCCCUCCCUCUCUCUCUCCCUCUCUCUCUCUCCCUCCUACUCCAGCCCCGUCCUCCCUUUUUUAUUACUCAUUUCACCCAGCUGAAUAGAGAUUCAACGGAAGUCUGUGAACAGGACAAUCUGCUCUGCCGACCCUCCAAGCACGCACAGCCAUAUAUUACUCAAAUCUCAUGAGCCGGAAUAAAUGGACAAUUUCAACUUUUCCCUCUCAUCUGCCUUAUCAGACCCCUCCUGUCCUCUUUGCCGCCCAUCUCCUCACUCACCCAGGCCCCCCCUCCCCUCCACCCACCGACCUUCAUCCUUUCUGGGAAGACGGACAUCCGCUGCAUUGUUCUAUGACGGUCCGACGGCUUGUGCAGAGACAGUUCCGGAAGGCCCUUGGGUCGCAGCAGAUGUAAUGUUGGCUUGAUCGAAGGAUAGAUGAAAAAGGGGGGGCUUCUACCUGCCCUCCCCCCACCCCACCCUCCACCCUCCACCCUCUUCUCCUGGGCUAAUGGCACUUGGUUUUUCUCCAUCUGACUUUAUCAGUGCGCCAUUCAUAAAAGCACCACUCAAAGACGCUGGCACCUCGGGAUGCGGUAUGUAAGGGACACUAAUCCUUGGCACUCGUUGCCCGCCCAGCAGACUGAAGAAUACAUAACCUUCACCACGCCGGGCUGUCUCCUCGUCCCGAUGAAAGCGAGCGUGGACUCUGGGCCGCAGAGAAGAGAAAUACUCGUUGGGUUGAAGAAGACCCCGCAGGCCUACUUGAGGCUUUUCUGAAAGCCAGAGUGAAAGGACGUCGUACACACAAGACGAUCAGAGCCCUCGGAGACGGGGUCGCUCUCUGAAGAACCAGGAUGAAUGAGGAGCCGGUGUGGCAGACCCCAGACUUCCAGGUUACCUAUGGCAACCACGCUUGCAAGAGGCAUCAUUUCGCCG